UUAAGUUAUUAAGGGCGCACGGUGGAUGCCUUGGCACUAGAAGCCGAUGAAGGACGUUACUAACGACGAUAUGCUUUGGGGAGCUGUAAGUAAGCUUUGAUCCAGAGAUUUCCGAAUGGGGAAACCCAGCAUGAGUUAUGUCAUGUUAUCGAUAUGUGAAUACAUAGCAUAUCAGAAGGCACACCCGGAGAACUGAAACAUCUUAGUACCCGGAGGAAGAGAAAGAAAAUUCGAUUCCCUUAGUAGCGGCGAGCGAAACGGGAAGAGCCCAAACCAACAAGCUUGCUUGUUGGGGUUGUAGGACACUCUAUACGGAGUUACAAAGGACGACAUUAGACGAAUCAUCUGGAAAGAUGAAUCAAAGAAGGUAAUAAUCCUGUAGUCGAAAAUGUUGUCUCUCUUGAGUGGAUCCUGAGUACGACGGAGCACGUGAAAUUCCGUCGGAAUCUGGGAGGACCAUCUCCUAAGGCUAAAUACUCUCUAGUGACCGAUAGUGAACCAGUACCGUGAGGGAAAGGUGAAAAGCACCCCGGAAGGGGAGUGAAAUAGAACCUGAAACCGUGUGCUUACAAGUAGUCAGAGCCCGUUAAUGGGUGAUGGCGUGCCUUUUGUAGAAUGAACCGGCGAGUUACGAUUUGAUGCAAGGUUAAGCAGUAAAUGUGGAGCCGUAGCGAAAGCGAGUCUGAAUAGGGCGUUUAGUAUUUGGUCGUAGACCCGAAACCAGGUGAUCUACCCUUGGUCAGGUUGAAGUUCAGGUAACACUGAAUGGAGGACCGAACCGACUUACGUUGAAAAGUGAGCGGAUGAACUGAGGGUAGCGGAGAAAUUCCAAUCGAACCUGGAGAUAGCUGGUUCUCUCCGAAAUAGCUUUAGGGCUAGCCUCAAGUGAUGAUUAUUGGAGGUAGAGCACUGUUUGGACGAGGGGCCCCUCUCGGGUUACCGAAUUCAGACAAACUCCGAAUGCCAAUUAAUUUAACUUGGGAGUCAGAACAUGGGUGAUAAGGUCCGUGUUCGAAAGGGAAACAGCCCAGACCACCAGCUAAGGUCCCAAAAUAUAUGUUAAGUGGAAAAGGAUGUGGCGUUGCCCAGACAACUAGGAUGUUGGCUUAGAAGCAGCCAUCAUUUAAAGAGUGCGUAAUAGCUCACUAGUCGAGUGACACUGCGCCGAAAAUGUACCGGGGCUAAACAUAUUACCGAAGCUGUGGAUUGUCCUUUGGACAAUGGUAGGAGAGCGUUCUAAGGGCGUUGAAGCAUGAUCGUAAGGACAUGUGGAGCGCUUAGAAGUGAGAAUGCCGGUGUGAGUAGCGAAAGACGGGUGAGAAUCCCGUCCACCGAUUGACUAAGGUUUCCAGAGGAAGGCUCGUCCGCUCUGGGUUAGUCGGGUCCUAAGCUGAGGCCGACAGGCGUAGGCGAUGGAUAACAGGUUGAUAUUCCUGUACCACCUAUAAUCGUUUUAAUCGAUGGGGGGACGCAGUAGGAUAGGCGAAGCGUGCGAUUGGAUUGCACGUCUAAGCAGUAAGGCUGAGUAUUAGGCAAAUCCGGUACUCGUUAAGGCUGAGCUGUGAUGGGGAGAAGACAUUGUGUCUUCGAGUCGUUGAUUUCACACUGCCGAGAAAAGCCUCUAGAUAGAAAAUAGGUGCCCGUACCGCAAACCGACACAGGUAGUCAAGAUGAGAAUUCUAAGGUGAGCGAGCGAACUCUCGUUAAGGAACUCGGCAAAAUGACCCCGUAACUUCGGGAGAAGGGGUGCUCUUUAGGGUUAACGCCCAGAAGAGCCGCAGUGAAUAGGCCCAAGCGACUGUUUAUCAAAAACACAGGUCUCUGCUAAACCGUAAGGUGAUGUAUAGGGGCUGACGCCUGCCCGGUGCUGGAAGGUUAAGAGGAGUGGUUAGCUUCUGCGAAGCUACGAAUCGAAGCCCCAGUAAACGGCGGCCGUAACUAUAACGGUCCUAAGGUAGCGAAAUUCCUUGUCGGGUAAGUUCCGACCCGCACGAAAGGCGUAACGAUUUGGGCACUGUCUCAACGAGAGACUCGGUGAAAUCAUAGUACCUGUGAAGAUGCAGGUUACCCGCGACAGGACGGAAAGACCCCGUGGAGCUUUACUGUAGCCUGAUAUUGAAAUUCGGCACAGCUUGUACAGGAUAGGUAGGAGCCUUUGAAACGUGAGCGCUAGCUUACGUGGAGGCGCUGGUGGGAUACUACCCUAGCUGUGUUGGCUUUCUAACCCGCACCACUUAUCGUGGUGGGAGACAGUGUCAAGCGGGCAGUUUGACUGGGGCGGUCGCCUCCUAAAAGG
rnacentral:rRNA from 1 species